rnacentral:rRNA from 1 species
UACGUAGGGUGCGAGCGUUAAUCGGAAUUACUGGGCGUAAAGCGUGCGCAGGCGGUUUUGUAAGCCAGAUGUGAAAGCCCCGGGCUCAACCUGGGAAUGGCAUUUGGGACUGCAAGGCUGGAGUUUGGCAGAGGAGACUGGAAUUCCUGGUGUAGCAGUGAAAUGCGUAGAAUAUCAGGAGGAAUACCGAUGGCGGAAAGGC